GAUGAACGCUGGCGGCGUGCCUAAUACAUGCAAGUCGAGCGAACGGACGAGAAGCUUGCUUCUCUGAUGUUAGCGGCGGACGGGUGAGUAACACGUGGAUAACCUACCUAUAAGACUGGGAUAACUUCGGGAAACCGGAGCUAAUACCGGAUAAUAUUUUGAACCGCAUGGUUCAAAAGUGAAAGACGGUCUUGCUGUCACUUAUAGAUGGCUCCGCGCUGCAUUAGCUAGUUGGUAAGGUAACGGCUUACCAAGGCAACGAUGCAUAGCCGACCUGAGAGGGUGAUCGGCCACACUGGAACUGAGACACGGCCCAGACUCCGACGGGAGGCAGCAGUAGGGAAUCUUCCGCAAUGGGCGAAAGCCUGACGGAGCAACGCCGCGUGAGUGAUGAAGGUCUUCGGAUCGUAAAACUCUGUUAUUAGGGAAGAACAUAUGUGUAAGUAACUGUGCACAUCUUGACGGUACCUAAUCAGAAAGCCACGGCUAACUACGUG
rnacentral:rRNA from 1 species